CGCUGUUCUACGGGGGGAGGUUUAC
rnacentral:sRNA from 1 species